CGGUAAGGUGAUAUGAACCGUUAUAACCGGCGAUUUCCGAAUGGGGAAACCCAGUGUGUUUCGACACACUAUCAUUAACUGAAUCCAUAGGUUAAUGAGGCGAACCGGGGGAACUGAAACAUCUAAGUACCCCGAGGAAAAGAAAUCAACCGAGAUUCCCCCAGUAGCGGCGAGCGAACGGGGAGCAGCCCAGAGCCUGAAUCAGUGUGUGUGUUAGUGGAAGCGUCUGGAAAGGCGCGCGAUACAGGGUGACAGCCCCGUACACAAAAAUGCACAUGCUGUGAGCUCGAUGAGUAGGGCGGGACACGUGGUAUCCUGUCUGAAUAUGGGGGGACCAUCCUCCAAGGCUAAAUACUCCUGACUGACCGAUAGUGAACCAGUACCGUGAGGGAAAGGCGAAAAGAACCCCGGCGAGGGGAGUGAAAAAGAACCUGAAACCGUGUACGUACAAGCAGUGGGAGCACGCUUAGGCGUGUGACUGCGUACCUUUUGUAUAAUGGGUCAGCGACUUAUAUUCUGUAGCAAGGUUAACCGAAUAGGGGAGCCGAAGGGAAACCGAGUCUUAACUGGGCGUUAAGUUGCAGGGUAUAGACCCGAAACCCGGUGAUCUAGCCAUGGGCAGGUUGAAGGUUGGGUAACACUAACUGGAGGACCGAACCGACUAAUGUUGAAAAAUUAGCGGAUGACUUGUGGCUGGGGGUGAAAGGCCAAUCAAACCGGGAGAUAGCUGGUUCUCCCCGAAAGCU
rnacentral:rRNA from 1 species